GAUGAACGCUGGCGGCGUGCCUAAUACAUGCAAGUCGAGCGAACAGACGAGGAUCUUGCUUCUCUGACGUUAGCGGCGGACGGGUGAGUAACACGUGGAUAACCUACCUAUAAGACUGGGAUAACUUCGGGAAACCGGAGCUAAUACCGGAUAAUAUUUUGAACCGCAUGGUUCAAUAGUGAAAGACGGUCUUGCUGUCACUUAUAGAUGGAUCCGCGCUGCAUUAGCUAGUUGGUAAGGUAACGGCUUACCAAGGCAACGAUGCGUAGCCGACCCGGGAGGGGGGUAGGCCCCACUGGAACCUGAAACCCGUCCCGGCUUCUAAGGGAGGGCACAGUUGGGAAAUCUACGCAAAUGGGGGAAAGCUUGCCGAACCACCGCGGGGGGGUUGAUGAAGGUCUUCGGUCGGAAAAACGCGUUUAUAGGGGAAAACCAAUUUUGAAGGUAACUGUGCAGGUCUGACGGUAACGUAUAAAGAAGCCCCGGCUAACUACGUG
rnacentral:rRNA from 1 species